AUUGAACGCUGGCGGCAUGCCUUACACAUGCAAGUCGAACGGCAGCACGGGUGCUUGCACCUGGUGGCGAGUGGCGAACGGGUGAGUAAUACAUCGGAACAUGUCCUGUAGUGGGGGAUAGCCCGGCGAAAGCCGGAUUAAUACCGCAUACGAUCUACGGAUGACAGCGGGGGACCUUCGGGCCUCGCGCUAUAGGGUUGGCCGAUGGCUGAUUAGCUCGUUGGUGGGGUAAAGGCCUACCAAGGCGACGAUCAGUAGCUGGUCUGAGAGGACGACCAGCCACACUGGGACUGAGACACGGCCCAGACUCCUACGGGAGGCAGCAGUGGGGAAUUUUGGACAAUGGGCGAAAGCCUGAUCCAGCAAUGCCGCGUGUGUGAAGAAGGCCUUCGGGUUGUAAAGCACUUUUGUCCGGAAAGAAAUCCUUGGCUCUAAUACAGUCGGGGGAUGACGGUACCGGAAGAAUAAGCACCGGCUAACUACGUG
rnacentral:rRNA from 1 species